CAGUAGCGUAUAUUAAAGUUGUUGCAGUUAAAAAGCUCGUAGUUGAACUUCUGUGUUGCGAUGCUGAGUCCUCCGGGACAAACUUUGCGACACAUCCAUCUGAAUAGCAUUUCGGCAAUUCAAACGGCUGUUGUGUGAUCAGAUAUUUUACCUUGAGAAAAAUAGAGUGUUCCAGGCAGGCACCCGCCUGAAUAAUAAAGCAUGGAAUAAUACAAUAGGACUGCGUUCUAUUGGUGAUAGAACAUAGUAAUGAUUAAUAGGGACAGUUGGGGGCAUUCGUAUUUAAUAGUCAGAGGUGAAAUUCUUUGAUUUAUUAAAGACGAACCUAUGCGAAAGCAUUUGCCAAGGAUGUUUNCAUUAA
rnacentral:rRNA from 1 species